rnacentral:rRNA from 1 species
UGGGGAAUUUUGGACAAUGGGGGCAACCCUGAUCCAGCAAUGCCGCGUGAGUGAAGAAGGCCUUCGGGUUGUAAAGCUCUUUCGGCGGGGACGAAACGGUCCGUGACAACACCACGGACUAAUGACAGUACUCGCAGAAGAAGCACCGGCUAACUACGUGCCAGCAGCCGCGGUAAUACGUAGGGUGCAGGCGUUAAUCGGAAUUACUGGGCGUAAAGCGUGCGCAGGCGGCUCCUUAAGUCAGAUGUGAAAUCCCCUGGCUUAACCUGGGAACUGCGUUUGAAACUGAGGGGCUAGAGUAUGGGAGAGGGAUGUAGAAUUCCAGGUGUAGCGGUGAAAUGCGUAGAUAUCUGGAGGAAUACCGGUGGCGAAGGCGGCAUCCUGGACCAUUACUGACGCUGAGGCGCGAAAGCUAGGGGAGCAAACGGGAUUAGAUACCCCAGUAGUCCCUGAGCGGGCUGGCAAGGCGCAU